AGUUCCUGCCUGGGCUUCUCCACAAGAAUGACUGUCACCUUCAGCGGGAAGCCAGAUAAACCUAACUCUUCCUUCCCUGAACUACAUUUGCCAGGGCAUUCGUCAUAGGAACAGAAAUGAAGUCAGGACAGACAUCGUGUCUGUUUUGCUCGCCGUGGAUCUCCAGGAGUCAGCACGGGGCCAACACGCAGCUAUAGGAAGAGCAAAGCCUCCGCUUUGUCGACGUAGAGACUGGGUGCAGCGCAUCAGACACAUGCUCCGUCCGUUUAGAUUUUCCCACCACAUCCCAGCCCUGUGCGAACCCACAAAGCUUUGUAUGAAUAUCCGAUUGUUUCCUUGAGACAAAUUAUCGAAAGGAGCUAGCUGACUGAUGAAUGCUGAGGACCCACCUCCUUGUUUAGAAUUUUCCAAGUGGAAGAUUAUUCAUCAGAAACACGCAAGAGAGGAAAAGAUGUCUCCAGAGGAAGACAAAGCCACGUUGGCACCGAGGAGGGCCGGCCGGCAAUAAAGGCGGACCGAGAGAGAGAAGAAAGCCGCGGGACAAUCUGGCUGGGCCCUGUAGACUCAGUUGCUGCAGCAACAGAACUCAAACAAUGAAGAGGGGAGGGACUGCCAUUUUCUUCACUCUGUCCAGUUGUCAUGGAUACUGAGAUCUUAAAACCAAAGGGGUGGUAGUCUUCCCUGUGGGACUGAGUUCCACAGGAGCUUCAGAGUUCUACACCAGCAUAGCCUUGUCCCGGACUACAUGGGGUCAGCAGCUCCACUCUUCAUCCUCAAGUCAGGGGGAGCAAAGGAUGCAGAAUUCAUUUCUCCUAAUGGAACAAAAGGAGUACCAGGAGGCAAAUGGUGAUUCUAGACUAGAUCUCAGACAUCGGAAGCAACACCAGACUCUCAGAUCAAUAGAAAUAAUUCUGUAACAACCAACAGUUUGUUCAUAACAUUGAAUGUGUCCCCCUUCGUGACCCCCACUCUGUCCCAGAUGGAGCAUACCAGAGUGGCCACAGAGUAAAAAGUCUGAGGACACUAAAAGAUGAACACUGGGACUGUUCGGAAGCCCUGUGGUCUUUGCUGAGCCAGAGGUACAGCUUGAAAGGAGAAAAUGAAAUGCAGGCUGGGACUCAGUUCUCAACUACGUAGAGUAGUCAAGCUGUCCAUGCAAGGAAGCCCGAUGAAGAAGGCCAGGGAAGAAGCAGCCCUUGGUUCCAGCUUAACAAGGAGGAAGAGCCCUAUGCCUGGCUGGAAGACCCUGUGCAUGUCAUGCAGACAU